rnacentral:rRNA from 1 species
AGAGUUUGAUCCUGGCUCAGAUUGAACGCUGGCGGCAUGCUUUACACAUGCAAGUCGAACGGGGUUAAGGGGCUUGCUCCUUAAUCUAGUGGCGAACGGGUGAGUAAUGCAUCGGAACGUACCCGGGAGUGGGGGAUAACGCACCGAAAGGUGUGCUAAUACCGCAUAUUCUGUGAGCAGGAAAGCAGGGGACCUUAGGGCCUUGUGCUUCCGGAGCGGCCGAUGUCGGAUAGCUAGUUGGUGAGGUAAAGGCUCACCAGGCGACGACCGUAGCGGUCUGAGAGAUGAUC